rnacentral:rRNA from 1 species
GUGCCAGCCGCCGCGGUAAUACCGGCAGCCCGCGUGAUGGCCGAUUUUAUUGGGCCUAAAGCGUCCGUAGCCGGCUGGACAAGUCCGUCGGGAAAUCCACGUGCUCAACGCGUGGGCGUCCGGCGGAAACCACUCGGCUUGGGGCCGGAGGACUCGAGGGGUACGUCUGGGGUAGGAGUGAAAUCCCGUAAUCCUGGACGGACCGCCGAUGGCGAAAGCACCUCGAGAGGACGGACCCGACAGUGAGGGACGAAAGCCAGGGUCUCGAACCGGAUUAGAUACCCUAGUAGUCC